rnacentral:rRNA from 1 species
GGCCUUUAGCCCCCUAAGUAUUAAAGGUCCAACCUGCCCAGUGAAAGCUUUUAAACGGCCACGGUACCCUAACCGUGCAAAGGUAGCACAAUCACUUGCCCUUUAAAUAGGGGCUAGUAUGAACGGUUUAAUGAGGGUUUAACUGUCUCCUAGGGUUAACCAAUGAACCUGAUAAUUCAGUACAAACGCUGAAAUAUAAUCAUAAGACAAGAAGACCCUGUGGAACUUCAAGUUUACCGUUGACCUUAAUCUUCUAACACGCCCUCAACACAAAACUUAAGUUGGGGCAACUGCGGGGUAAAACCAAACCCCCAUGAAAUAUAACUAGCAAUUAUACAAUAGGCCCACACGCCACAUAUAUGCUGUUCGACCCAGUUCACACUGAUCACCGAACCAAGCUACCCCAGGGAUAACAGCGCUAUCCCCUUAAAGAGUCCAUAUCGCCAAGGGGGUUUACGACCUCGAUGUUGGAUCAGGACACCCAGGCGGUGCAGCCGCUGCCAAAGGUUCGUUUGUUCAACGAAUAAAGUCCU